rnacentral:rRNA from 1 species
UACGUAGGGUGCAAGCGUUAUCCGGAAUUAUUGGGCGUAAAGAGCUCGUAGGCGGUUUGUCGCGUCUGCUGUGAAAACUGGGGGCUCAACCCCCAGCCUGCAGUGGGUACGGGCAGACUAGAGUGCGGUAGGGGAGAUUGGAAUUCCUGGUGUAGCGGUGGAAUGCGCAGAUAUCAGGAGGAACACCGGUGGCGAAGGCGGGUCUCUGGGCCGAUACUGACGCUGAGGAGCGAAAGCAUGGGUAGCGAACAGG